rnacentral:misc_RNA from 1 species
AACGCAAAUUGCGCCUGAGGUCUAGGCCAAAGGCAUGUCUGGCUCAGCGUCGUUUCACCCUCGCCAUCCCCAAACCCUCCCUAGGAGGGUCGUCCGGGGUGCCUGGCGGAGUUGGUCGUGUCGCUGCACAAGCGGGUCGGCCGAAAAUCAGACCCCUCAUGGAGUCCCCGCCCCGGGACGGCAGUCUGGUAGGCAACCUUCACGGAUGCAUGCCUCCUGACGGCCCGGCGGCGAGCGGGCUCCAGACCACGAGGGGAGCUCAAACAGGAAAACCUCUCUCAUCAUUCGACCUGAGCUCAGGCAAGAGCACCCGCUGAACUUAA